rnacentral:lncRNA from 1 species
CAGGGCCAACCCAAGGCAGCUCAGGUGCAAGCAAUGUACCUGAGAGAUUGGAGAGGUGGAGCUGGGAUCCACCCCUUCCCAGACCUCAUUUAAGGGUUGGCAGCGGAGGUGAGAGUAUCUUGCUAGAGAUCCCUGCAUACUUGAGGCCCUUCUAAGGUAAGCAGCUUUUUUUCCUUUGUUUUUGUGACUAUGGCUGCUAUGUUUGGGCUUGUCCUCAUUUGUUGCAGGCAAAGGCUUUGCCACGCUGCCUUUAUUGCUGUACUUUCCAUUACAUUACAGCGCUACAAUGUGAUGCUUUGGAAAGGGUAUUAAUUUGUUGAGGUGACAGUGUUUUCUAUACCUUACUGAAGCUUCUUUCAGGUUUUUUUUUUUUCCCUCUUUCUUGGCCUACAGAAUGGUAGGACUUCACAAACUUCUUAAAUCCUUGGUUUUCCAGCCUUUGAAUGCAGAUUUCAUAAUUCGGAUGUAAAAAAUCUUGUCUUUGGCAGAUACUGUUCUUAAGCUUUGAUGGUUCUGUCCUGUCCAGAUGGACAAGAGUCAAAGGUGCUCAUCCCAUCUCAAUGGAUGUUUUUCCAAGGCUGUUUUGUGUUUCAACCAACUGGCAUAUCUGCUGGCAAAAACAGCAACAACAAUCAACAAAGCAAAACCCGCAUUUUUGGAGAAAAUACAGGCCUCAAGGAGAUGACAAAACAAGUGUUUGAAGGAGAAAGUCAGCAGUAUCAUUUACUGUGUGAACACAUUAAGGUAAAGCAAAAUGCUCAAAAGUGUAAUGUUACUAAACAGGAAUCAGUAUUAUGCAGUAUCUUCUAACAAAUCUUCUUUAGAUGAUUAAAAAAAAAGACCCAAACCUUUUUCCUUUUUUU